rnacentral:rRNA from 1 species
GACGAGGGGUCCAAGCGUUGCUCGGAAUCACUGGGCGUAAAGCGCACGUAGGCGGACUCUUAAGUCGGUGGUGAAAUCCUGGAGCUCAACUCCAGAACUGCCUUCGAUACUGAGAGUCUCGAGUCCGAGAGAGGUGAGUGGAACUGCGAGUGUAGAGGUGAAAUUCGUAGAUAUUCGCAAGAACACCAGUGGCGAAGGCGGCUCACUGGCUCGGUACUGACGCUGAGGUGCGAAAGCGUGGGGAGCAAACAGG